rnacentral:rRNA from 1 species
GAAUAUUGCACAAUGGGCGAAAGCCUGAUGCAGCGACGCCGCGUGAGGGACGAAGGCCUUCGGGUUGUAAACCUCUUUCGGCCCCGACGCAGCGAAAGUGACGGUAGGGGAAGAAGAAGCGCCGGCCAACUACGUGCCAGCAGCCGCGGUAAGACGUAGGGCGCAAGCGUUGUCCGGAUUUAUUGGGCGUAAAGAGCUCGUAGGCGGCCUGUCGCGUCGACUGUGAAAACUCACGGCUCAACCGUGGGACUGCAGUCGAUACGGGCAGGCUAGAGUUCGGUAGGGGAGACUGGAAUUCCUGGUGUAGCGGUGAAAUGCGCAGAUAUCAGGAGGAACACCGGUGGCGAAGGCGGGUCUCUGGGCCGAUACUGACGCUGAGGAGCGAAAGCGUGGGGAGCGAAC